AAUGGCGCAUACAAAGAGAAGCGACCUCGCGAGAGCAAGCGGACCUCAUAAAGUGCGUCGUAGUCCGGAUUGGAGUCUGCAACUCGACUCCAUGAAGUCGGAAUCGCUAGUAAUCGUGGAUCAGAAUCCCGCAUG
rnacentral:rRNA from 1 species